rnacentral:rRNA from 1 species
CACGUAGGAGACAAGCGUUAUCCGGAUUUACUGGGUGUAAAGCGCGUGCAGGCGGAUCGGAAAGUUGGAUGUGAAAGCUCCCGGCUUAACUGGGAGAGGUCGUUCAAGACUACCGGUCUAGAGGACAGCAGAGGGGAGUGGAAUUCCGAGUGUAGCGGUAAAAUGCAUAGAUAUUCGGAAGAACACCAGUGGCGAAAGCGGCUCUCUGGGCUGUAACUGACGCUCAGACGCGAAAGCUAGGGUAGCAAACGGG